rnacentral:rRNA from 1 species
CCUACGGGUGGCAGCAGUAGGGAAUAUUGCUCAAUGGGGGAAACCCUGAAGCAGCAACGCCGCGUGGAGGAUGAAUGUUUUAGGAUUGUAAACUCCUUUUGUUAGAGAAGUUUAUGACGGUAUCUAACGAAUAAGCACCGUCUAACUCCGUGCCAGCAGCCGCGGUAAUACGGAGGGUGCAAGGGUUACUCGGAAUCACUGGGCGUAAAGAGUGCGUAGGCGGGGUAAUAAGUCAGAUGUGAAAGUCUGUAGCUUAAGCACAGAACUGCAUUUGAAACUGUUACUCUUGAGUGUAGGAGAGGUAGGUGGAAUUCUUGGUGUAGCGGUAAAAUGCGUAGAGAUCACGAGGAAUACUCAUUGCGAAGGCGGCCUGCUGGAACAUUACUGACGCUGAUGCACGAAAGCGUGGGGAGCAAACAGGAUUAGAUACCCGAGUAGUC